rnacentral:rRNA from 1 species
CCACGGGGUGCUCCAGUGGGGAAUAUUGCACAAUGGGGGGAACCCUGAUGCAGCAACGCCGCGUGGAGGACGACGCAUUUAGGUGUGUAAACUCCUUUUAUAUGAGAAGAUAAUGACGGUAUCAUAAGAAUAAGCACCGGCUAACUCCGUGCCAGCAGCCGCGGUAAUACGGGGGGUGCAAGCGUUACUCGGAAUCACUGGGCGUAAAGGGUGUGUAGGCGGUUUAAUAAGUCAGAUGUGAAAGCCUGUGGCUCAACCAUAGAACAGCAUUUGAAACUAUUAGACUAGAAUCCGGAAGGGGCAGGUGGAAUUAGUGGUGUAGGGGUAAAAUCCGUAGAUAUCACUAGGAAUACCCAAAGCGAAGGCGACCUGCUAGGACGGUAUUGACGCUGAGGCACGAAAGCGUGGGGAGCAAACAGGAUUAGAUACCCCUGUAGUC